rnacentral:tRNA from 4 species
GGGGCUGUGGCGCAGUUGGGAGCGCGUUUGAAUGGCAUUCAAAAGGUCGUCGGUUCGAUCCCGAUCAGCUCCACCG